GACGAACGCUGGCGGCGUGCUUAACACAUGCAAGUCGAACGGAAAGGCCCUGCUUUUGUGGGGUGCUCGAGUGGCGAACGGGUGAGUAACACGUGAGUAACCUGCCCUUGACUUUGGGAUAACUUCAGGAAACUGGGGCUAAUACAGGAUAGGAGCUCCUGCUGCAUGGUGGGGGUUGGACAGUUUCGGCGGUUGGGGAUGGACUCGCGGCUUAUCAGCUUGUUGGUGGGGUAGUGGCUUACCAAGGCUUUGACGGGUAGCCGGCCUGAGAGGGUGACCGGCCACAUUGGGACUGAGAUACGGCCCAGACUCCUACGGGAGGCAGCAGUGGGGAAUAUUGCACAAUGGGCGGAAGCCUGAUGCAGCAACGCCGCGUGCGGGAUGACGUCCUUCGGGGUGUAAACCGCUUUCGCCUGUGACGAAGCGUGAGUGACGGUAAUGGGUAAAGAAGCACCGGCUAACUACGUG
rnacentral:rRNA from 1 species